rnacentral:rRNA from 1 species
GACGAACGCUGGCGGCGUGCCUAAUACAUGCAAGUAGAACGCUGAAGGAGGAGCUUGCUCUUCUGGAUGAGUUGCGAACGGGUGAGUAACGCGUAGGUAACCUGCCUGGUAGCGGGGGAUAACUAUUGGAAACGAUAGCUAAUACCGCAUAACAGUAGAUGUUGCAUGACAUUUACUUAAAAGGUGCAAUUGCAUCACUACCAGAUGGACCUGCGUUGUAUUAGCUAGUUGGUGGGGUAACGGCUCACCAAGGCGACGAGACAUAGCCGACCUGCGAGGGGGAUCGGCCACACUGGGACUGGGACAUGGCCCAGACCCCUAGGGGAGGGAGCAGUAGGGAAUCUUCGGCAAUGGACGGAAGUCUGACCGAGGAACGCCGCGUGAGUGAAGAAGGUUUUCGGGUCGUAAAGCUCUGUUGUAAGAGAAGAACGAGAGUGAGAGUGGAAAGUUCACACUGUGACGGUAUCGUACCAGAAAGGGACGGCUAACUACGUG